UACGGGGGGGGCAAGCGUUGUUCGGAAUUACUGGGCGUAAAGGGCUCGUAGGCGGCCAACUAAGUCGGAUGUGAAAUCCCCAAGCUUAACUUGGGAACUGCAUCCGAUACUGGAUGGCUUGAAUCCGGGAGAGGGAUGCAGAAUUCCAGGUGUAGCGGUGAAAUGCGUAGAUAUCUGGAGGAACACCGGUGGCGAAGGCGGCAUCCUGGACCGGUAUUGACGCUGAGGCGCGAAAGCCAGGGGAGCAAACGGG
rnacentral:rRNA from 1 species